rnacentral:rRNA from 1 species
CCUACGGGAGGCAGCAGUGAGGAAUAUUGGUCAAUGGACGCAAGUCUGAACCAGCCAUGCAGCGUGAAGGAAGACGGCCCUAUGAGUUGUAAACUUCUUUUGUACGGGAGUAAAAGCAGAUACGUGUACCUGUUUGUAUGUACUUUACGAAUAAGGAUCGGCUAACUCCGUGCCAGCAGCCGCGGUAAUACGGAGGAUCUAAGCGUUAUCCGGAUUUAUUGGGUUUAAAGGGUGCGUAGGUGGUUGGAUAAGUUAGAUGUGAAAGUCUGCGGCUCAACCGUGGAAUUGCAAUUGAUACUGUUAGGCUAGAGUGCAGUUGAGGUAGGCGGAAUGCGUGGUGUAGCGGUGAAAUGCUUAGAGAUCAUGAAGAACACCGAUUGCGAAGGCAGCUUACUAAGCUGCUACUGACAUUGAGGCACGAAAGCGUGGGGAGCAAACAGGAUUAGAUACCCGAGUAGUC